GGUACCGAGGUCUGUCUGGCAUUCUAGGCAGAGUGCUGUGGGACCGCCCUCGUGUCUGUGGUGGUGGGAUCCCGUGGCCGUGUUUUCCUGGUGGCCUGGCCGUGCCUGAGGUUUC
ensembl:miRNA